rnacentral:rRNA from 1 species
CCUACGGGUGGCAGCAGUGAGGAAUAUUGGUCAAUGGACGCGAGCCUGAACCAGCCAAGUAGCGUGAAGGAUGACUGCCCUACGGGUUGUAAACUUCUUUUAUAUAGGAAUAAAGUGUGGCACGUGUGGCUUUUUGUAUGUACUUUAUGAAUAAGGAUCGGCUAACUCCGUGCCAGCAGCCGCGGUAAUACGGAGGAUCCGAGCGUUAUCCGGAUUUAUUGGGUUUAAAGGGAGCGUAGGUGGUUUGUUAAGUCAGUUGUGAAAGUUUGCGGCUCAACCGUAAAAUUGCAAUUGAAACUGGCAGUCUUGAGUACAGUAGAGGUAGGCGGAAUUCGUGGUGUAGCGGUGAAAUGCUUAGAUAUCACGAAGAACUCCGAUUGCGAAGGCAGCUUACUAGACUGCAACUGACACUGAGGCUCGAAAGUGUGGGUAUCAAACAGGAUUAGAUACCCGAGUAGUC